AGUGCAAGUAGAUAAAUAGGUACUGCUCCAGCGGGAAGGUCAACGGUGUUUCCGUGCGCUGCUCUGGUUCACCAGAAGUGGCUUAGUCAUGCUGGCCACAUGACCCGGAAGCGGUACGCCAGCUCCCUCAGCCAAUAAAGCGAGAUGAGCGCCGCAACCCCAGAGUUGGUCACGACUGGACCUAAUGGUCAGGGGUCCCUUUACCCUUUACCUUUACACAUAAAGGGGGUUCACACAUGGAUAGGAUCAUAGAGCCAUAUGGACUAGUCACCCAUACCACCACAAUGAUCCCCUAAUAUCUACACACUUGACAUAUGCCAGGAGUUCAGUGUGCAUACUGAUGUUUGCAUAGCGCUUUCCCAGGCUCAAUCCAGAUCCUAUCUUGCAUUUGAAGCUCUGCAGGCAUAUAUCACCAAAUGCGAAGAACUACUUCCAAUUCAACACAUACAUGUCCCAUAAUUUUUUGAUACACAUGGUAGAAAUAGUGUGGACUCCGUUUUGGAACAAGCACUCGUGGGACGGAACCAGGUCAAAUAAAAAGAAGGAGACUUCACUUUCAACAUUCCUCCGUUGGAGGAACUGUCCAUUUAGUCCUGCUCUCCUCUUCCUGCUUCUUAAACCGUUACUGAUCCACAAAAGGACCUCUCAUCUUAUUUCAUGACUGCUAGGUUUACUAAGGAGUCUGUUGUCAGAAGCUUUUUGAAAGUCUAAACACACAAUGACAGCUAAAACACCUCUAUCUAUAUGCUUGCCAACACUCUCAAAGAAGUCUAAAGCAUUAAUGAGAUAGGACUUAGCCUUGCAGAAACCAUGCUGAUUCUGCAUCAACAAGACUUGUUCUUCCUAAUGCUUUGUAAUUUUAUCCUUAACAAUGUUUUCCACCUUCCUGAAACUGAAGCUAACUAGCAUGUAAUGUCUGUGAUUCCCACCCCACCCUGAAUAUAUCCCUUUAUUAAAGUUUAUGUUAUAUUUCAAUCCUCAGAUAUGGCUGCUGAUAUGGACAUGUUCAAUAUUUUUGGAAGUACAGCACUGUCACCUUUGAGUUCUUAAAAAAAAACACACCACAUUUGAGUUUUUAAAGAUAUUUCGGGGGGAUGUCCCCCCAACACACACAUACACACUAUUUAAGGAAGGCAAGAAAAGAAACAGAUAUAAAUGCAAUGUUAUUUGGAAAGGGAAGGGUUAAAGUGAUAAAUUUGAUUCCUAGAGAGGAGAGGCAGACUACAGAGAAUGAAAUGGCUAGAGCAAUCUAGGGUUUUCUUUGCCCGAGCAAAAAUCAAACAGCAGUGAGAAAGGCCAUGUACACCUGGGGAAAUUCCAUUGUGGGGCAUUAGUUUGUUUUAAAAUCAGAUUAUCUCAGAAACUGAAGAAGGAAAUGGAGAUUUUUGUUCACAGUAUCCUAGAAAUGCCCUUUAAAAUUUGAGUGAACCAAGUGCAUCUAUUUCAUUAUAAAUGCCCAGUGUGGAAUCAGCCUGAGAUACCGUUUACCAGCGUGAUCCAGCCAGUUCAGCAAUAGCAGCAGUCUUACCCCGAUGAUGUCAUUACACACUUUUCUCCAGCAACUCCAAUGGAAUGACAGCAUAACUGACCACUGGUUUGUCCCCCUAGGAAACCUUCUGUCUGCAAUCUUCAUCAGAUAACUUUUACCCCUAGACACACUUCCAGAGAAUCAAUACAACAGGCAAAAGAAUAUAAGCGCAGUUAUACCGGGGAGAAACUGUGUGCAGGUUAAAUGUGUUUCUCUCCACUGGUGUCUGCGAUGACAUACAACUGACCUCAUAAAUGUCUUAUGAGGCCGAACAAACUCUGCUCUCUAGCAAAAACUGCCAUCACUCCCAUCCUUCUUGUCCUGAGGCUCCGCUGGCAAAGUGCCAUAAAGCAUCAGUAUUGAUAUUUUGUGGCAUUCAAAUUGUGAGGGACCUCCUCUAAGCAAGAGAAGUGAGGAUAUUAAGGCAAUCUGUCCGUGUCACUGCUAAUUACAACAAUAUAAACUAAAUUUACAGCAUAUGCCAACAUGUGAUAUGAAUUUGCAACAAGCACCAAAACCUUUCCUUGGCAUUAUCAGCAAAGCCCUUUUGUGAAUGGUAGCUUGGAGAAAAACUCGGAUGCAGUUUUAACCUUACCCACCCAACUGAAUAGAGCCUGCUUAUUUCCUAUGGCUUAUUCCGUUCUGUUAAAUAUUUGACAAAGCUGCUGCCUUUGUUAGAAAGGUUCCUUUGCUAGAAUGGUUGAUAGUCCAGAAUGAUCUGUUGAGGUUUCUUUCUCUUCCAUUAAUGGAAGCUAAUGGUUUGGAGGUGAUCCAUGAUACUUAGCAUCCUCUCAGCUGAGAACAGGGGCAGGUGUGUGUCAAAGAGAGAAGGCCAGGCAUCCACAUGGCAUACCGGGUCAUCUGCCAGGGUCCGCACACCCUGUAAGGCUCAUUGAGCAUGACACCUUUCCUGAGCCCCACCUCCAUUUUCUGUUAGAAUUCCUGCUCCAUGGUUGCAGUCAUGGGAUUGCUGUCUUUCACAUGACAGUAUAUGUUUUGACUCCACAGAGUGGGAAGUGACAGAGACAGGAUGUUUGUGUUACUGUGUUCCGUGAAGUGGGACUAUUCUCCUUUAUUCUUUUUCUCUUUGCUGUCUGAUGCUAGAGAGAGAGGGAGCCAUGUUGCAGUGCUCUGUGUGUGUAUAUGUAAAUAAGGCAGAUUAGCCAAAAUGCUGAGUUGCUGAGGUCUGUCACGCAAACUGCGAACACUCUGCGGAUCCCUAAGUGUGCCAGUGUCUGUUGGCAUCAGUCACUGUGAUGUUCGGGCUGAAGAAAGCUCCCGAACGAUCGACCAGGAGGGAGAGAACAUGCCAGUCGGGCAUGUUUCUCUACCAGGGUCCUACUCAAGUGUAGGCUGAGCUCCUGACAUUUUCAACCACCACUUCCAGCAAUGUGGCUGCAGCUGUGGCUGGUCCUGCAGCAAGUCUGCCCAGCCACUUGCCUUCCCACCUAGGCAGAUUUAGCCAGUGACAGAGUUAUGAGAAUCAAGCAACAACUACGCUGCUCAAAGGUAAGUGGCUGAUUGGCUCCCAGCCUGUUCUAGACCCACAGCCUCUGCUGCCUAGUAAACCCAUUCACUCACUCAGUGUCAUGAACUGGUUGGACGCAGAGGAAAGGUGGGAGGAAGCAGCUGGGGAACCACCAAGGGAAGAAGAAGGCUCAGGGCUCGGGGAUUGGUGGUGAGGCGACUGAGAGGAGAAGGCGUCAGAAGCUGAAGAGGUAACAAGGUUUAGUGAGCAGGGAGAGUCUGUAGCAGAGAGAAGACCAGAAUCAGAAUCAGAAGCUGAUUCAGGAGAGCCCUUCUCUCCUGCAUCAGCUUCUGCCAAGAGACGGAGAUGACUCAUGCUGAUGAAGAGUCACACGUAUCUCCCCCUCCUGCUGCGACAAGCUCCCCUCCCCUCCUGUUCUCCCAGAACCAGGAGAGGCAUGGAAAGGGUGGAGAAGUUGGCAUCACACACACAGACAUUUCCCAAUUGCUUGGGAAGAACCAUGGAGAGGUUCUUAGAUGGCUAUGCAGAGGUCUCAGCCGCUGAUCCAUUGGGCAAGAUCUACCGCUUAUGAGCUGCUGUGUUCGUUAGACCCGACACUCCACCAAGUCUGUGCAGAUUGUGUUAUUGUUAAUAAAGUGUUAACUCUUAACUUGCAUGGUGUGAUUUAUUGCCAGCCUGAUUUACUGCUGAGGUGUCAGCAGGAAUUAUGCCCUAAGAGCUAAAAACAUUCCCUUUUCUUUUCUUCCUCUCUCUGUUAGCAAAACUUAAAAGAAAGUUAUGGUUCUUGGGAUGCUGAACUCUGCGCCUGCCCCCUUCAUAUCAAUUUCUGAACUUCAAUAAGGCAAUUAUAAAAUUGCAGAAGAUUUCUAUCACUGCUUCAGCUCAUACUUGCCCUUCAUAAAACUCAGCAAUCAUGUAGGGAAAUGCAUGCUUGCAAUUCAGGCACGAGCACACACCUUUCAAAGCAGAGAUUCAAUGUGCUAUGGACGUUUCCUGAUGCAUAUUAUGAGCUGAUGUUUGCCAUAGGGUCUGGCUAAUCCUGCUCCAUUUAUUGGAGGGCCGUUUCAGCGGCAGUGUCAACAGCAUGAUUUGAUCAGGUCACCCUUGCCUGGGAAAAUGAUGUAAAAGGUCUCCCGUGGGCAGGAUUGUAUUAGGCACAUUUCAGAGGUUUUUCAGACAAGAGCAUAAUUAUUAGUAGAGGAGGAGGAGGAGGGAAGGGAUAUUUGUCAGAGGAAAAUCUGAAUAAGAAGCUAUUGCCUAGCAUUUAGAGAUCCAUGAGCAACAAGGUGAAGUAACUAAACAAGAAGCACCACAUUUAUAGUGCAGUCCUAAACAUAACAGCUCAGAAGUAAAUGCCAUUGUGUUCAGGAGGGCUGACUCCCAGAUAAGUGGGUAUAGGAUUGCAGCCUAAAAUCUGUUAGAGCUGUUCAGCUGAAUCUCUGAUCUGGACCUUGUAUAGAAAUAAAUCUUCUAUCUACACCAAGAAUCAAUUUCAAAGCUUUACUGCAGAACAGUCUUAAAGCUAGUUACAUAUCAAUGUUACAAAGGAACAAAGGAACACAUUGCAAUCAAGUAGCAACACAGUUCAGUCCUUUAAGUCCUCUAACACAGUCCAAGAACUUCUCUCUCUGAUCCCAGAGAGAGACUACACUAUGCUGGAAGCUCCUUUUCUAAACACAUUGAACUGAAGAAGAAGAAGAGUUUGAAUUUGAUAUCCCGCUUUAUCACUACCCUAAGGAGUCUCAAAGCGGCUAACAUUCUCCUUUCCCUUCCUCCCCCACAACAAACACUUUGUGAGGUGAGUGGGGCUGAGAGACUUCAGAGAAGUGUGACUAGCCCAAGGUCACCCAGCAGCUGCAUGUGGAGGAGCGGGGAAGGAAACCCGGUUCACCAGAUUACGAGUCUACCACUGUUAACCACUACACCACACUGGCUCCCUGGUGACAGGUCUGUGCAAAGGAGAGGUAAACUGGGUACACUUGCCCUAAGCCUCGGAGGGCUAAGCUGGCUGGAGGAUCCUGCCAGGGACCAGCUGCUUUUUGUCUGAGUUCAUAACUUUAUUCUAGCAAGAUUCGCAUCUCAGGCCUCAAACAAGUGCUGGGGGAUAGCCCCGUUUUCUCAUGGUCACUGGCUAUUGCAUUCACCAAGGGAUUCCCAUCUAAAGAACUGAACGGAAAUUCAGUGUGUGCAAAAUCCAAGCUGUGCAAAUUCAGUCCAUGUGUUUGAGGUUAGAAUGCCAUGCCCUCCAAGGAUCCUGACUUUCCAGAGACAGCUUUCAUUUCAAAAAGCAAUAUCAACGUCGUUUUACUUAUGGAGAUGUAGAAGAAAGUGUGCAGGUUGUAUUUCCCCCAGUUCCCCAGUAAGAUGUAAAUCUGCCUCUGCCACCACCCCUUCCAGAGUUCCAGCCAAAGGUACUGCAAUAAUUGACAAGCACUUGGCAUUUUUAAACUGUAAACACAUCAGACUACUUGUGUUUUGAGCUUGCCAUUUCACAUUGACUUAUGCCUCUCCAGAGCCACAAGAAAAAUUUAUGUUUACAGAGCUGAUGCAGAACCAGCCAUCGGAGAAUCAAAACUUGCUUUGGUGCCACUUCCAACAUUGCUGAUUCUUUGUGCAAACUAAGAGUAUAACUCAGAAUCUUCUGAUAAAUCUAGGGCAGGGGUGUGGGACCUCAGGCGCCCUUAUUUGUCCCAGGCCACACUGCUCACAGGCCCUGGCUCUAUGCUCUCCGGAGUGCUUUUGUGAGGCUAGAAUGUGCCCCUUGUUUGCUUGCCUGACAGCCUCUGGUUUCUGUAUGGCUGAAGUGUCACAUACCAUGCAAAGGUAAAAGUCACAUCAAUUGGCCUGCACAUUUUGGCCCACAAUCAGGGUUCCUGUCCUUUUGUUGCAAACCCUUUGAGCAAGUAUGGUAGCCACUUUCAGACUCAAUGCCAAUCCUGCACUGGUCAGGAAGUGCACCUGACAAAUGCAGCAUCACCACUGAGAUUCACACCACACAUUCCCACUUGCCCCUUCAAAUGUUCCAACUAAACACCUGAAGAUGACAUACGUGAUCCCUGAUUGGGUGGAAUGACUACAUGGAUGAUUCUGGUAGGAAGAAGAACAAGAAGCCACAGGAGACAUUGGUACCACAGUAUUGUUGGGGGAGAGGGGAUAUCCACCCUGCUGAAUACCUAAUCCUGAUUCACAAAAUGAUUCUGGUAAAUUGUCAACCUAGUGCUAAGUUUAAGACAAUAGUUUCCUGUUGUUCUUGCAAAGCUCCUGCCAGUUUCACAUUCUGACAUAGUUUCUCCCAGAAUACUUUUCUGUAAGUGUUUCCUCUAGGGUUUAAGACCACAUAAAGGAGAGAUCCACAAAAGUGCCCUGUCACAAAACUUCUGGUGUUUUUGUGGAGCAGGAACAAUUGACAGUUUUAUAUCCAUGCAAAUGAACUAAGAAAAGUUGAAACUUAGAAAUAAGUUGAAAUGUAUUCAUCCCCCUUUCACAAAAGCAAAUACAUACUUCCUUUCUUUCCCAAGCAAAACAAAUCAAGUAGAUUAACACCAACCAUUUGUGCUUAAAGGGUCACUUUAUUAAAAGCCGUUUUGAGUUUUAAUAAAGACUUUUAUUUUCACUGUCAUUGCAGUUACGAAAAGCAUUGCUCAGGAGUCAGAAGGCAGAAAGCAGUUCAUUCUGAGCAGUGUUUACUUUUAAGUUGUGAGCAUUUUUUUUCCAAGUGUGCUUUGGAAUGACUGUUAUGAUCUAUUGUAAAUUAUGAAUGCUCCCGGCAUUUCUUGCAUAAAUAGAUACUGGCAGGUCUUAAAUAUUCCUGUACAUCUCCAUGACAUUUUUGUUAGAUGAGUACAGUUUAAAGCAUAUCUGUGUCCUGUUGGAUUCUGGGGUAACAUUCGUCUCAAUAAAGUAAGAAAGCCAAAAAAGAAAAGCAUCUCAAGGGUAUGUAGUUGUGGCAAAGACUUUCUUGUCUACUCUCUAAAAUGAAACAAUGACAAAAGAGCCCCACCAGCACUUGUUAACAAUCAAACCAAGGAAGGACUCCAGUGGGCUGUCUAUAAAGCAGAGCCCAAUACCAACACGAUUCUGUUUUCAUAAAAUUUCUUUAUUAAAGGCCUAGUUCUCUUGCUCUAGUGCUCAAAACAGGAAAGGGCAGAUCAACACCACAUAUUUAAAGUUUAUUCAACGCACAUUUAAAGCACAUAAAGGUAAAGGGACCCCUGACCAUUAGGUCCAGUCGUGACCGACUCUGGGGUUGCACGCUCAUCUCGCUCUAUAGGCCGAGGGAGCCAGCGUUUGUCUGCAGACAGCUUCCGGGUCAUGUGGCCAGCAUGACUAAGCCGCUUCUGGUGAACCAGAGCAGCACACGGAAAUGCCGUUUACCUUCCCGCCGGAGCGGUACCUAUUUAUCUACCUGCACUUUGACAUGCUUUUAAACUGCUAGGUUGGCAGGAUGUUGUUGUUUAGUCGUUUAGUCGUGUCCGACUCUUCGUGACCCCAUGGACCAGAGCAUGCCAGGCACUCCUGUCUUCCACUGGUUCCCGCAGUUUGGUCAGACUCAUGUUUGUAGCUUCGAGAACACUGUCCAACCAUCUCGUCCUCUGUCGUCCCCUUCUCCCUGGGCCCUCCAUCUUUCCCAACAUCAGGGUCUUUUCCAGGGAGUCUUCUCUUCUCAUGAGGUGGCCAAAGUAUUGGAGCCUCAGCUUCAGGACCUGUCCUUCCAGUGAGCACUCAGGGCUGAUUUCCUUCAGAAUGGAUAGGUUUGAUCUUCUUGCAGUCCAUGGGACUCUCAAGAGUCUCCUCCAGCACCAUAAUUCAAAAGCACCAAUUCUUUGGCGAUCAGCCUUCUUUAUGUUCCAGCUCUCACUUCCAUACAUCACUACUGGGAAAACCAUGGCUUUAACAAUACGGACCUUUGUUGGCAAGGUGAUGUCUCUGCUUUUUAGGAUGCUGUCUAGGUUUGUCAUUGCCUUUCUCCCAAGGAGCAGGUGUCUUUUAAUUUCGUGACUGCUGUCACCAUCUGCAGUGACCAUGGAGCCCAAGAAAGUAAAAUCUCUCACUGCCUCCAUUUCUUCCCCUUCUAUUUGCCAGGAGGUGAUGGGACCAGUGGCCAUGAUCUUCGCUUUUUUGAUGUUGAGCUUCAGACCAACAUAACUUCCCUCAAAGAAUCCAGGGAAUUGUACUUUCUUCCACCGGAGACCUGCAAUUCCAAGCACCCUCAACAAACUACAGUUCUCGGAAUUCUCUGGGAGAAGUCAUGUGCUUCAAAUGUGCAUUCCCCUCAAAAAGUCAAACUUUCUGAACAAGGAAAUUUCAAAUGGACAAUCUUACUCUCCAGGGCAAGGCAGGUCACAUGACCUCCCCAUACAGGGCUGACCAGAUGUCAGAUAGUUUUUUAUUUCCUUGACAUUUGACAGGAAGGUGUUCCACAGGGUGGGCUCAACUACUGAGAAGGCCCUCUGCCUGGCUCCCUGUAACCUCACUUCUUACAGUGAGGGAACCACCAGAAGGCGGAUCUCAGUGUCUGUGCUGAAUGACUGGGGUGGAGAUGCUCCUUCGCGUAUACUGGGCCAAGGCCAUUUAAGGCUUUAAAGGUCUGCACCAACACAUUUUUUUGUGCUCAGAAACGUACUGGGAGCCAAGGCAGUUCUUUUAGGACUGGUGUUAUAUGCUCCCCGCAGCCACUCAGAGUCACCAGUCUGGCAGCCACAUUCUGGAUUAGUAAUAAUAAUAAUAAUAAUAAUAUUUAUACCCCGCCCAUCUGGCUGGGUUUCCCCAACCACUCUGAGCAGCUCCCAACAGAACAUUAAAAACACGAUAAAAGAUCAAACAUUAAAAACUUCCCUAAACAUGGUUGCCUUCAGAUGACUUCUAAAAGUCAGUUAGUUGUUUAUUUCCUUGACAUCUGAGGGGAGGGCAUUCCACAGGACUGGGGCCACUACCGAGAAGGCCCUCUGCCUGGUUCCCUGUAACCUCACUUCUUGCAGUGAGGGAACUGCCAAAAGGCCCUCAGAGCUGGACCUCAGCAUCUGGGCUGAACGAUGGGGGUGGAGAUGCUCCUUCAGGUAUACUGUAGUUUCCGAGUCACCUUCCAAGGUAGCACUAGCUCAAGUGGGAGAUAACCAGAGCAAUGUGCAGGGUCUCAGCCAGCUUACCAGAUGAAGCUGGUAGACAGCUGGUGUGUGUUUUUAUGCACUAAAUUGUUAUAGGACCCAUGCCAUUCCUGGCACUGUGACCUGUCAUGACUGUUUUUAACACUGAAUUUUAAAUUGUUGCACCUCACCAAUGACCUGGUGUGAAGGGCGGGUAACAAACUGAACAACAAACAAAAGCAACACUUACAAAGCAAAAUCAUGAAGCAAAAACAGGAUGCAAGUAGGAAGCAUUACCCUUGCUCCAAAUAGGCUUCCUGAACCACCCAACCAAUUAGAUUUGCAUGUGUCAUGAUGAUACAAAGCCAAAUCAGAGAGGGGGGGGCAACGUUUCCUGCCCUCACACUGAUUUGGCAGACAUUUUCUCGCUGUAUGAUCAAAAUGAGGGGGUGCUUUCCAUGGGAGCAUGAAACUUGCCCCCUUUUCAGCUCAGCCUGUUUAUACCAUGUACAUUUUGUAUUUUCCUUCCUUCAGCAGAAAACCCCAAACUUUUGACUCAUCUCACCAAUCUCCCCUUGCGCUGCCAGAUCUUCCAACGGCUCUCCCUCUUAACUGUUAUGAACAGACAAUCUUCCCUUUAGCACACUGAUUAUGCACAGAAGACAUCGCUGAGCUGUACCGCAAGGUGUUAGAAUUACAUUGUCUAUGACAGAUCAAUUUGUUUUCCAUAAAGGUGGCACAUCGGGCUAGGGAAUUGAAGUCUCUAACAUUGCAGAGACUCCUGGCACCUGUUCGCUGCUUGUGGAGCUCAGGAGUUUGGCUCGGGUGGACUAUUUUGCCUAUCAAUGGAGUUUCCUUCCAUAGUAUGCGUAGGAUUGCAGCCUAAGGCUAGAAUCCUAUACACCAGGGAUGUGGCACCUGUGGCCCUCUGGUUUUUUGUUCGACUACAAUUCCCUGAGUGCUCACUGGAAGGACAGAUCCUGAAGCUGAGGCUCCAAUACUUUGGCCACCUCAUGAGAAGAGAAGACUCCCUGGAAAAGACCCUGAUGUUGGGAAAGAUGGAGGACACAAGGAGAAGGGGACGACAGAGGACGAGAUGGUUGGACAGUGUUCUUGAAGCUACCAGCAUGAGUUUGACCAAACUGCGGGAGGCAGUGGAAGACAGGAGUGCCUGGCAUGCUCUGGUCCAUGGGGUCACGAAGAGUCAGACACGACUAAAUGACUAAACAACAACAACAACAAUCCCCAUCACUCUGAACAUUGGCCACGCAGGUCGGUGUUGAUAGGAGAUGGAGUCCCACAACAAACAUUACUUAGUUUGGCUACUUAAUAUUUAUUUUCUGCUCUCCUAUAACAACAUAGCACAUUACAAAAAUGAAGAAAGAAUGGGUAAAUUGAUCUGAAAGUUCAUGAGCAUGACCAAGAACUGGGGUGUGUUCAUUGGCUAACUGAAAUAUAAUAUUAAUACAUUCUUGCAAUAAGGAUAAGAUAUCCCAGUUUAUGUGGGGACGUGGGUGGCGCUGUGGGUUAAACCACAGAGCCCAGGACUUGCCGAUCAGAAGGUCGGUGGUUCGAAUCCCCGCGACAGGGUUAGCUCCCAUUGCUCAGUCCCUGCUCCUGCCAACCUAGCAUUUCGAAAGCCCAUCAAAGUGCAAGUAGAUAAAUAGGUACCACUCCGGUGGGAAGGUAAACAGCGUUUCCGUGCGCUGCUCUGGUUCGCCAGAAGCGGCUUAGUCAUGCUGGCCACAUGACCCAGAAGCUGUACACCGGUUCCCUUGGCCAAUAAAGCGAGAUGAGUGCCGCAACCCCAGAGUCGGUCACAACUGGACCUAAUGGUCAGGGGCCCCUUUACCUUUA